UUUUUUAAAUUGCUGUGGUAUUUUGACUAUACAAAGGUAUUGAAAUAAGAUUUUAAUUGAAUGCUAAGAGAAUGGAAUUCCAGAGAAUAACUUUUUUUUUAUUAAAAAUUAAACUUUUUUUAAUUUGUGCAGAAACAAUUAUAAAAAUUAAAGACAAGAAGACCCUAAGAAUUUAUAAAUUUGAUUAAUAUUUUUUUGUAUUAAUUAAAUUUUAACUGGGGCGGUUAAAAAACAUUAAAAACUUUUUUAAUUUAAUAUGACCCAUUAUUAAUGAUAAUAUGAAAAAUACUCUAGGGAAACAGCGUAAA
rnacentral:rRNA from 1 species